AUACGUAGGGAGCGAGCGUUACCCGGAAUUACUGGGCGUAAAGCGCGCGUAGGCGGUUUGGUCAGUCGGAUGUGAAAGCCCUGGGCUCAACCUGGGAAUGGCAUUCGAUACUGCAUAACUAGAGUAUGGUAGAGGGAAGUGGAAUUUCCGGUGUAGCGGUGAAAUGCGUAGAUAUCGGAAGGAACACCAGUGGCGAAGGCGACUUCCUGGGCCAAUACUGACGCUGAGGUGCGAAAGCGUGGGGAGCAAACAGGAUUAGAAACCCCGGUAGUCC
rnacentral:rRNA from 1 species